rnacentral:rRNA from 1 species
AACAAGGUCUCCGUUGGUGAACCAGCGGAGGGAUCAUUGCUGGAACGCGCCCCAGGCGCACCCAGAAACCCUUUGUGAACUUAUACCUUACUGUUGCCUCGGCGCAUGCCGGCCCCCUCGGGGGCCCCUCUCCGGAGGAGCAGGCACGCCGGCGGCCAACCUAACUCUUGUUUUUACACUGAAACUCUGAGAAUAAAACAUAAAUGAAUCAAAACUUUCAACAACGGAUCUCUUGGUUCUGGCAUCGAUGAAGAACGCAGCGAAAUGCGAUAAGUAAUGUGAAUUGCAGAAUUCAGUGAAUCAUCGAAUCUUUGAACGCACAUUGCGCCCUCUGGUAUUCCGGAGGGCAUGCCUGUUCGAGCGUCAUUUCAACCCUCAAGCCUGGCUUGGUGAUGGGGCACUGCCUGUAAAAGGGCAGGCCCUGAAAUUCAGUGGCGAGCUCGCCAGGACCCCGAGCGCAGUAGUUAAACCCUCGCUUUGGAAGGCCCUGGCGGUGCCCUGCCGUUAAACCCCCCAUGGGGCGCGUUCCAGCAAUGAUCCCUCCG